rnacentral:rRNA from 1 species
GAUGAACGCUGGCGGCGUGCUUAACACAUGCAAGUCGAACGGAGACAAACGCCGAUUGAAGCUUCGGCAGAAAUCAUGUUUGUCUUAGUGGCGGACGGGUGAGUAACGCGUGGGUAACCUGCCUUAUACCGGGGGAUAACACUUAGAAAUAGGUGCUAAUACCGCAUAAGCGCACAGCUUCGCAUGAAGCAGUGUGAAAAACUCCGGUGGUAUAAGAUGGACCCGCGUCUGAUUAGCCAGUUGGUGAGGUAACGGCUCACCAAAGCAACGAUCAGUAGCCGGCCUGAGAGGGUGAACGGCCACAUUGGGACUGAGACACGGCCCAAACUCCUACGGGAGGCAGCAGUGGGGAAUAUUGGACAAUGGGGGAAACCCUGAUCCAGCGACGCCGCGUGAGUGAAGAAGUAUUUCGGUCAUGUAAAGCUCCUAUCAGCAGGGAAGAUACAUGAC